rnacentral:rRNA from 1 species
AACGAACGCUGGCGGCAUGCCUAACACAUGCAAGUCGAACGAAGGCUUCGGCCUUAGUGGCGCACGGGUGCGUAACGCGUGGGAACCUGCCCCUCGGUUCGGAAUAACAGUUAGAAAUGACUGCUAAUACCGGAUGAUGACUUCGGUCCAAAGAUUUAUCGCCGAGGGAUGGGCCCGCGUAGGAUUAGCUAGUUGGUGGGGUAAAGGCCUACCAAGGCGACGAUCCUUAGCUGGUCUGAGAGGAUGAUCAGCCACACUGGGACUGAGACACGGCCCAGACUCCUACGGGAGGCAGCAGUGGGGAAUAUUGGACAAUGGGCGAAAGCCUGAUCCAGCAAUGCCGCGUGAGUGACGAAGGCCUUAGGGUUGUAAAGCUCUUUUACCAGGGAUGAUAAUGACAGUACCUGGAGAAUAAGCUCCGGCUAACUCCGUG